AAAAAGAAAAAAAGAAAAAAAAGAAAAGAAAAUCUCUCUCUCUCUCGUCGAACUCAUUCAAACCGACCACUCGCACUCGAGCGCGCCGGUUGUGCCCCGGGUUGCCACAGUGCUGUGCUGCUGAUCGUUAUGUGAUGUAACUGGUAAUUCUACCGAAGAGUGAACCUUUGCCCAGUUUUCUUUUCGCAUUUUGAAAAUUAUCUCGCCAACGAUUCACAGAUUCGAGCACACAAUUUUCAUGCAGGCGGAAUGAACGUCGUCAGCGCCGUGUCCUUGCCCUUUAAAUUUCGAAGGUUGAACGCGGCCCUUUUCGAAUACCCAUACGUAAGUCGCGUGUUCGCUGACAAUUUGGCCGAAAGUAGAUAAAACAAAAAAAGUUUCAUCACGUGAAACUCCGUUACGAAUAGUCGGACUGCGUUUCGUUUGACUCACUCAUCACUCCACCGAACAUGUACGAGUCAUUGAAUCGAAAAGAAAAAAAAAAAGA